GAAUCAAAAACAAUUCUGGUUGGAUGGGAAAGAAGUUGCUUUUAUGAACAGGGCACGUCCAUGUAGGAAAGCUAAUCUGCCGCGUGUUGUCAAUGAAAUAUAUCUUCCACAACAAAAGAAGUUUGUUUUAUUUUCCCAAUCAGUUAGUAAGACCUUACAAAUUUCUUUUUGGACCAAUAGUUGUUCAGCUCUAUUUAUAUAAACUUUCUAUCGCUGGUCUUCGUUUUAUACCCUAGCCUGUUUUCCCUUGCAUUUUUGAAUUUUAUACUAAAGUCAACAUGUCAGCAGGCCCUUUUCGACUAUGAAGAGGCGAUAAAGAGGCACAUUGCCGUUCCUUUGCUAUAUGGAUGGGUCCCAAAUUAUGACAAAGCUGCCACCAAGAGGACACUGGAUAAGCAUGGCUAAUGAUGCAUGCUGGAUACCGUCGCUUGGAUACUCCUUUUUUUGAAUACAUUUCCUUUUUGCAACUUUAUGUUCCUACAGUUUUAUUUUUAAGACAUUAAACCUUGUGGUUUUGCCCUGUAGGGCCCUGUAUGUGUUCGGAAGUUUUUGCCAAUGACAUUGCAAUUGAAUCCA